rnacentral:rRNA from 1 species
CCAGCCCGCUCAGAACUUAAAGGAAGUUGACGGGGCCCGGCACAAGCGGUGGAGCAUGUGGUUUAAUUCGAUGAUACGCGAGGAACCUUACCUGGGCUCAAAUGUAUGUUGACGUAUUCUGAAAGGGAUACUUCUUCGGACAAUAUACAAGGUGCUGCAUGGUUGUCGUCAGCUCGUGCCGUGAGGUGUCGGGUUAAGUCCCAUAACGAGCGCAACCCCUACCUUUAGUUGCCAUCAGGUAAUGCUGGGGACUCUAAAGGAACUGCCUACGCAAGUAGUGAGGAAGGCGGGGAUGACGUCAAAUCAGCACGGCCCUUACGUCCAGGGCUACACACGUGCUACAAUGGCCGAUACAGAGGGCAGCUACCUGGUGACAGGAUGCAAAUCUCCAAAGUCGGUCUCAGUUCGGAUCGGAGUCUGCAACCCGACUCCGUGAAGUUGGAUUCGCUAGUAAUCGCGCAUCAGCCAUGGCGCGGUGAAUACGUUCCCGGGCCUU